AUUGAACGCUGGCGGAAUGCUUUACACAUGCAAGUCGAGCGGCAGCGCGGGGCAACCUGGCGGCGAGCGGCGAACGGGUGAGUAAUACAUCGGAACGUACCCAGUUGUGGGGGAUAGCCCGGCGAAAGCCGGAUUAAUACCGCAUACGACCUGAGGGUGAAAGGGGGGGAUCGCAAGACCUCUCGCAGUUGGAGCGGCCGAUGGCGGAUUAGCUAGUUGGUGAGGUAAAGGCUCACCAAGGCGACGAUCCGUAGCUGGUCUGAGAGGACGACCAGCCACACUGGAACUGAGACACGGUCCAGACUCCUACGGGAGGCAGCAGUGGGGAAUUUUGGACAAUGGGGGGCAACCCUGAUCCAGCCAUUCCGCGUGAGUGAAGAAGGCCUGGUUGUAAGCGUCUUUGGUCAGGAACGAAACGGUAGGGUCCGUAAUUACGAAUCUGCUAAUGAC
rnacentral:rRNA from 1 species